ensembl:lncRNA
UGAGGCUUGUUUUCCAUGGGCUCAGGAGUUAGUAAUUUAGGAGGUUCCUAUUCAGAAACUCAAACUGGGAGUGGACUGAUGAGGAGAACUGGAAAUGCUGCUCUAGGCCAGCUAAAGGUAUUCAUCUAAAAUGUCUAGGAGAGGAGUGGAUGAGGGUACACGUAAACAGGGGUACUGAGAGUCCUGAGGCAUGCAGUACUACCUCAUCAGCAGUGCUAAUCACUGCCUUUACUGCUCUGCCUUCAAAUCCCCUCACAGCAUCCAAUGCCACCUCUACAAAGCUGUGUUGUAAACAUGUUCCUCCAAAACUCUGGUAUCUGCCAAGAUCGCACAAGAAUAGUCACACUAAUGGUUCAUUAUAAAGCUCUAAUAUGUAUUUGAUGACAACACUUUUUCUGCAAUGUCCAUUGGUGUUUUAAUAGCCUUAAUAAUAGCACAUAGUAAUGGCAUUACUACUUGCCUGUGUAACACCCACCUUCACUAUGUUAUGCCAGCAAUAACUAAUGAACGCACAUUUUAGGAAAUUCAUCCACCUAGGUAUGGCUUCUCAGAGUAGGGUUUUAACCCCAGGGAAAAGAGAUGUGAGUUCAGGGUAGGUAAGAGAGAGAUUUGAUGUUCUUUUGGAGUCAUAUAUCAGCUUCCAGAUUGUGCUGAUGCAGAAAGCAGCUUAAAAAAAAUAUAGUUCCACCUGGGCUAUUCCUGUGCCUGCUGCUCCAGACUCAGCCAAGAACAGAAGACUUGCUGCACAAGCCAAGCUGCCAAGAGGAUGAAGGAUCAGAAACGUGGUGUUUUGAUGGGUUGUUCGUAAGUCCUAAGCUCUAAGAGAAGAGCAUGUGGUGCAUGGAUCUUUAUCCCCAGGUUGACCAGUGAUUAAGGAUCAGCAACAACACUGUGCCACAAGCACUGAAGAUGAAAGACCGUUGAUAUGCAAGUGAAUCCCUAGAUGCCACUACAGUUUUAAGGGAGACUGGGGACCACGUCACAUCAGGAAUCAAAGUAGAAAAGCUUCACAGGAAUUGGCUGCUGAAGGGGGAAAAAAAAUGGCAGAAACUGGGCAUAAAUGAGUUAAACAGCCACCUGUGGCAGUUCUUGACACCCUUGCAAAGCUAAGUUCUUGACAUCUUGCAAAGCUAAGGAUGGGUGAACUGUAUAAAACCACCAAAGCAAGUAUCUUGAUCCUUCAAGUCUAGCUAGGAGCCAGAUGAGCAAGUAAAUCUAGCUUUGCAGCACACCUCAUCCUGAGCAAUCCACAUCCGUCAGAGUUAGGUCAAGAAGGUAGAUAGGUAUUAGAAAGGAAUCUCCCAAACUCAAAAGAAUUGCCCAAAGAAAAGACAACAUAGACAGCCAGAGGUACACAAUAGUAUUUUCCAUCAUCACUCUGUUUUGUCCAGAUGUGUAUUACAUUGUUUCCAUAGUCUGCCACUUGAUUCAGCUUUUGUACUCAGUAAAUCAAUAAUACAACCUGUGGAUGACCACAGAAUGUAUAUUAAUGGCAGGUUUUGCUUUUCUUCCCCAGCCCUAUUCAGAUAUACAAUGCCCUACCUUUGUUUUGAGAUCCUUUCCCAUUUCUCCCAUCCCCAACAGAUAACAAGGACAUUGCGUCACAACACACAAAGAGGCCCAAAGGCACGCCUUCAGCAAAGGAAAGGCACCUGCAUUCCAACUGAAGUGUAGCAAGUGAUGGCAAUGUUAGAGGAGUAGUGAGACCUAAUAGAGGGAGUAAAUUCUCUUUCCAAGUUUAGCUGCUACGUACUUCGGCUGAAAAGCUGAAAUGGCCUUUAAAAAGUGAUUACGGCUCAUUUACUAAACUCUAAAAUACACAAUUUGAGACCUGUGGAUAUAGCAGGAGAAUGAAGCCAGG